rnacentral:rRNA from 1 species
GGCAGGCCUAACACAUGCAAGUCGAGGGGGAAGCCGACUUUCGGGUGGUGGAGACCGGCGCACGGGUGAGUAACGCGUGGGAACCUACCCUGGGGUGGGGAUAACCGCUGGAAAACGGCGGCUAAUACCGCAUACGCCUUGAGAGGGAAAGAUUUAUCGCCCUGGGACGGGCCCGCGUUGGAUUAGCUUGUUGGUGAGGUAAAGGCUCACCAAGGCUGCGAUCCAUAGCUGGUCUGAGAGGAUGAUCAGCCACACUGGGACUGAGACACGGCCCAGACUCCUACGGGAGGCAGCAGUGGGGAAUAUUGGACAAUGGGGGCAACCCUGAUCCAGCCAUGCCGCGUGCGUGAAGAAGGCCUUAGGGUUGUAAAGCGCUUUCACCGGUGACGAUGAUGACGGUAGCCGGAGAAGAAGCCCCGGCUAACUCCGUG